CCCUUAGAUGUUCUGGGCCGCACGCGCGCUACAAUGAUGAAUUCAACGAGUUUAUAACCUUGGUUGAAAAGCCUGGGUAAUCUUUUGGACUUUCGUCGUGAUGGGGCUAGACCCUUGCAAUUAUUGGUCUCCAACGAGGAAUUCCUAGUAAACGCAAGUCAUCAGCUUGCAUUGAUUACGUCCCUGCCCUUUGUACACACCGCCCGUCGCACCUACCGAUUGAAUGGUCCGGUGAAAUCUUCGGAUUGAGACUUUGAUUUCUUCACGGAAAACGCUGUUUUAAAAAGUUGAUUAAACCUUACCAUUUAGAGGAAGGUGAAGUCGUAACA
rnacentral:rRNA from 1 species